rnacentral:rRNA from 1 species
GACGAACGCUGGCGGCGUGCUUAACACAUGCAAGUCGAACGGAAAGGCCCUGCGUUUGUGGGGUUCUCGAGUGGCGAACGCGUGAGUAACACGUGAGUAACCUGCCCUUGACUUUGGGAUAACUUCAGGAAACUGGGGCUAAUACCGGAUAGGAGCUCCUGCUGCAUGGUGGGGGUUGGAAAAUUUCGGCUGUUGGGGAUGGACUCGCGGCUUAUCAGCUUGUUGGUGGGGUAGUUGCUUACCAAGGCUUUGACGGGUAGCCGGCCUGAGAGGGUGACCGGCCACAUUGGUCCUGCGAGAGGCACCAGACUCGUAUGGGAGGCAGCAGGGGGGAAUAUUGCACAGUGGGCGGAAGCCUGAUGCAGAAACGCCGCGUGCGGGAUGACGGCUUUCGGGUUGUAAACCGCUUUCGCCUGUGACGAAGCGUGAGUGACGGUAAUGGGUAAAGAAGCACCGGCUAACUACGUG